UACAGAGGUCUCAAGCGUUGUUCGGAUUCAUUGGGCGUAAAAGGGUGCGUAGGCGGCGGGGCAAGUCUGAUGUGAAAUCCCGGGGCUCAACCCCGGAACUGCAUUGGAUACUGCCUUGCUCGAGUACUGGAGAGGGAACUGGAAUUUACGGUGUAGCAGUGAAAUGCGUAGAGAUCGUAAGGAAGGCCAGUGGCGAAGGCGAGUUCCUGGACAGUUACUGACGGCUGAGGCACGAAGGCCAGGGGGAGCAAACGGGG
rnacentral:rRNA from 1 species